CCUACGGGUGGCAGCAGUCGAGAAUCAUUCACAAUGGGGGAAACCCUGAUGGUGCGACGCCGCGUGGGGGAAUGAAGGUCUUCGGAUUGUAAACUCCUGUCAUGUGGGAGCAAAUUAAAAAGAUAGUACCACAAGAGGAAGAGACGGCUAACUCUGUGCCAGCAGCCGCGGUAAUACAGAGGUCUCAAGCGUUGUUCGGAUUCACUGGGCGUAAAGCGUGCGUAGGCUGUUUCGUAAGUCGGGUGUGAAAGGCGCGGGCUCAACCCGCGGACGGCACAUGAUACUGCGAGACUCGAGUGAUGGAGGGGGAAGCGGAAUUCUCGGUGUAGCAGUGAAAUGCGUAGAUAUCGGGAGGAACACUCGUGGCGAAGGCGGGUUCCUGGACAUUAACUGACGCUGAGGCACGAAGGCCAGGGGAGCGAAAGGGAUUAGAUACCCUUGUAGUC
rnacentral:rRNA from 1 species